rnacentral:rRNA from 1 species
UACGUAGGGCGCAAGCGUUAUCCGGAAUUAUUGGGCGUAAAGAGCUCGUAGGCGGUUUGUCGCGUCUGCCGUGAAAACCCGAGGCUCAACCUCGGGCCUGCAGUGGGUACGGGCAGACUAGAGUGCGGUAGGGGAGAUUGGAAUUCCUGGUGUAGCGGUGGAAUGCGCAGAUAUCAGGAGGAACACCAAUGGCGAAGGCAGAUCUCUGGGCCGAUACUGACGCUGAGGAGCGAAAGCGUGGGGAGCGAACAGG